GAUGAAUUGAAGGUUUGCUGAUCAGAGGAUAAAUUUGAUAUACGGUGAUUUAUUCAAGUUAUUAAAGUAAAUCAAUAAAUCACCGUAUAUCAAAUUUAUCCUCUGAUCAGCAAACCUUCAAUUCAUC
rnacentral:miRNA from 1 species